rnacentral:rRNA from 1 species
AACGAACGCUGGCGGCAGGCUUAACACAUGCAAGUCGAACGGGUGUAGCAAUACAUCAGUGGCAGACGGGUGAGUAACACGUGGGAACCUUCCUCGUUGUACGGAACAACUCAGGGAAACUUGAGCUAAUACUGUAUACGUCCGAGAGGAGAAAGAUUUAUCGCAAUGAGACGGGCCCGCGUCGGAUUAGCUAGUUGGUGGGGUAACGGCCUACCAAGGCGACGAUCCGUAGCUGAUCUGAGAGGAUGAUCAGCCACACCGGGACUGAGACACGGCCCAGACUCCUACGGGAGGCAGCAGCGGGGAAUCUUGGACAAUGGGCGCAAGCCUGAUCCAGCCAUGCCGCGUGAGUGAAGAAGGCCUUAGGGUUGUAAAGCUCUUUUGCCAGGGACGAUAAUGACGGUACCUGGAGAAUAAGCCCCGGCAAACUUCGUGCCAGCCGCCGCUGUAAAAC